UGGCCAUAUCAGAAUCGCUGCCGUCCCACA
rnacentral:piRNA from 1 species